rnacentral:rRNA from 1 species
UUAAGCGACUAAGCGUACACGGUGGAUGCCCUGGCAGUCAGAGGCGAUGAAGGACGUGCUAAUCUGCGAUAAGCGUCGGUGAGGUGAUAUGAACCGUUAUAACCGGCGAUUUCCGAAUGGGGAAACCCAGUGUGUUUCGACACACUAUCAUUAACUGAAUCCAUAGGUUAAUGAGGCGAACCGGGGGAACUGAAACAUCUAAGUACCCCGAGGAAAAGAAAUCAACCGAGAUUCCCCCAGUAGCGGCGAGCGAACGGGGAGGAGCCCAGAGCCUGAAUCAGUGUGUGUGUUAGUGGAAGCGUCUGGAAAGGCGCGCGAUACAGGGUGACAGCCCCGUACACAAAAAUGCACAUAUUGUGAGCUCGAUGAGUAGGGCGGGACACGUGGUAUCCUGUCUGAAUAUGGGGGGACCAUCCUCCAAGGCUAAAUACUCCUGACUGACCGAUAGUGAACCAGUACCGUGAGGGAAAGGCGAAAAGAACCCCGGCGAGGGGAGUGAAAAAGAACCUGAAACCGUGUACGUACAAGCAGUGGGAGCCUCUUAAUGGGGUGACUGCGUACCUUUUGUAUAAUGGGUCAGCGACUUAUAUUCUGUAGCAAGGUUAACCGAAUAGGGGAGCCGAAGGGAAACCGAGUCUUAACUGGGCGUUAAGUUGCAGGGUAUAGACCCGAAACCCGGUGAUCUAGCCAUGGGCAGGUUGAAGGUUGGGUAACACUAACUGGAGGACCGAACCGACUAAUGUUGAAAAAUUAGCGGAUGACUUGUGGCUGGGGGUGAAAGGCCAAUCAAACCGGGAGAUAGCUGGUUCUCCCCGAAAGCUAUUUAGGUAGCGCCUCGUGAAUUCAUCUCCGGGGGUAGAGCACUGUUUCGGCAAGGGGGUCAUCCCGACUUACCAACCCGAUGCAAACUGCGAAUACCGGAGAAUGUUAUCACGGGAGACACACGGCGGGUGCUAACGUCCGUCGUGAAGAGGGAAACAACCCAGACCGCCAGCUAAGGUCCCAAAGUCAUGGUUAAGUGGGAAACGAUGUGGGAAGGCCCAGACAGCCAGGAUGUUGGCUUAGAAGCAGCCAUCAUUUAAAGAAAGCGUAAUAGCUCACUGGUCGAGUCGGCCUGCGCGGAAGAUGUAACGGGGCUAAACCAUGCACCGAAGCUGCGGCAGCGACACUAUGUGUUGUUGGGUAGGGGAGCGUUCUGUAAGCCUGUGAAGGUGGCCUGUGAGGGUUGCUGGAGGUAUCAGAAGUGCGAAUGCUGACAUAAGUAACGAUAAAGCGGGUGAAAAGCCCGCUCGCCGGAAGACCAAGGGUUCCUGUCCAACGUUAAUCGGGGCAGGGUGAGUCGACCCCUAAGGCGAGGCCGAAAGGCGUAGUCGAUGGGAAACAGGUUAAUAUUCCUGUACUUGGUGUUACUGCGAAGGGGGGACGGAGAAGGCUAUGUUGGCCGGGCGACGGUUGUCCCGGUUUAAGCGUGUAGGCUGGUUUUCCAGGCAAAUCCGGAAAACCAAGGCUGAGGCGUGAUGACGAAGCACUACGGUGCUGAAGCGACAAAUGCCCUGCUUCCAGGAAAAGCCUCUAAGCAUCAGGUAACAUCAAAUCGUACCCCAAACCGACACAGGUGGUCAGGUAGAGAAUACCAAGGCGCUUGAGAGAACUCGGGUGAAGGAACUAGGCAAAAUGGUGCCGUAACUUCGGGAGAAGGCACGCUGAUAUGUAGGUGAAGCGACUUGCUCGUGGAGCUGAAAUCAGUCGAAGAUACCAGCUGGCUGCAACUGUUUAUUAAAAACACAGCACUGUGCAAACACGAAAGUGGACGUAUACGGUGUGACGCCUGCCCGGUGCCGGAAGGUUAAUUGAUGGGGUUAGCGGUAACGCGAAGCUCUUGAUCGAAGCCCCGGUAAACGGCGGCCGUAACUAUAACGGUCCUAAGGUAGCGAAAUUCCUUGUCGGGUAAGUUCCGACCUGCACGAAUGGCGUAAUGAUGGCCAGGCUGUCUCCACCCGAGACUCAGUGAAAUUGAACUCGCUGUGAAGAUGCAGUGUACCCGCGGCAAGACGGAAAGACCCCGUGAACCUUUACUAUAGCUUGACACUGAACAUUGAGCCUUGAUGUGUAGGAUAGGUGGGAGGCUUUGAAGUGUGGACGCCAGUCUGCAUGGAGCCGACCUUGAAAUACCACCCUUUAAUGUUUGAUGUUCUAACGUUGGCCCGUAAUCCGGGUUGCGGACAGUGUCUGGUGGGUAGUUUGACUGGGGCGGUCUCCUCCUAAAGAGUAACGGAGGAGCACGAAGGUUGGCUAAUCCUGGUCGGACAUCAGGAGGUUAGUGCAAUGGCAUAAGCCAGCUUGACUGCGAGCGUGACGGCGCGAGCAGGUGCGAAAGCAGGUCAUAGUGAUCCGGUGGUUCUGAAUGGAAGGGCCAUCGCUCAACGGAUAAAAGGUACUCCGGGGAUAACAGGCUGAUACCGCCCAAGAGUUCAUAUCGACGGCGGUGUUUGGCACCUCGAUGUCGGCUCAUCACAUCCUGGGGCUGAAGUAGGUCCCAAGGGU